AUUCUGCCCAAGCGGGGAAGGAUGAGAAGCUUCGACCAAGGUUCGACUCGAGCGCCAGCGAGAGAGCGUGGCCGCAGGCAACGACCCGAAGGGCGAAG
rnacentral:sRNA from 1 species